rnacentral:rRNA from 1 species
UCAAGAAUCUUCCCCAAUGGACGAAAGUCUGAGGGAGCGACGCCGCGUGCAGGAAGAAACCCCUCGGGGCGUAAACUGCUUUUCUCUGGGAAUAACUCUGAAGGUACCAGAGGAAUAAGGGGCUGCUAACUUCGUGCCAGCAGCAGCGGUAAUACGAAGGCCCCAAGCGUUAUCCGGAUUUAUUGGGCGUAAAGAGCUCAACGGUGGUUUGGUACGUUCCUGGUUAAAUUGCGCCGCUCAACGGUGCAACUGCCGGGGAAACGGCCAGACUUGAGGGUGGGAGAGGCAAACGGAAUUGUCGGUGUAGUAGUAAAAUGCGUUCAUAUCGACAAGAACACCAAUAGCGAAGGCAGUUUGCUGGAACACUCCUGACACUUCACGAGCGAAAGCGUGGGUAGCGAUACGG